rnacentral:lncRNA from 1 species
AGUGACGAGCGAUGAUUUUAAAGAGCAGAAUAAAAGGUUUUCCCGUGCCUGCCCCACAGCCCCUCCAGCUCGAAUAAUGGAGAACUGUCAAUGCACUCCGCGAGCGGUGGCCCAUUGUACGCAGCUGAUGGCGAGGAGGCGACUGGGGGUAGCAGGGGCUCCUUGCCCUCGUCCCUAUGCCCAAAUAAACGCGCAAACGCGCUCCCGUCUUCUGGUCAGUUAAAAGGUGAAACGAACACGAUUAAAAUAGACCAAAAGAAAAGAAAGAAAAGAAAACCUUUCUAUGUACAGAUUCUAAAUCGUACUCCCCAUACAGUCAGAGGCAGGGAGUCGAGGGCAGAGGCAGCAGGCGGAGAGAGGGAGAUAGGGCGAGGGAAGGAGAACGCGGAGAGAGACGAAGGGAGUGGGAGACCAGCGACAGCGAGCGCCAGGGCACCGCAGGCACACUGGAUGCCCAGUCCGCCGGCCCAGCCGCCCUCGGACCCUGGACCGUGCGUCGUGGGCACCAGAAACGAGACUCGGCCAAAUCCUGCCUCACCAGCAGGUAGAUGAAACUCAAGAGAAAAGGUGUGGAUAAAUGAAACUAGCCCAUGAUGAACCUGUUUUCUCCGUGACCACAAUAUUAACCAGGAUGAAUGGCGAUACACUGCCUCUAGGACUGGGACAGAUAGCCACUGAGUACCUGCUUCAAAUCACCCUGCACGUUUUCUCUUUGGAAAGAUAAGCACUGGAGAACCAUCUCGUUACCUUCAGCAGAAAUGGAAACAAAUCAAGACAUUAAGAAUGCCGCAGUGGACAGCAGUUAUGCAAGGUUCAGCAGAGGAAGUUUUCAAGAUGGUGUGCCUCACUAGCCAGAAAUCAG